CCUAAGGGUAGGCAUAGUUUAAACUUAAAACCUUAAGCUGUGGACUUAACAAUAGGA
rnacentral:tRNA from 1 species